rfam:Picea glauca, whole genome shotgun sequence.
UUAAUGGUGUCUUUUGACACCACCUCUUAUUUUCUGGGAAGGUUUA